rnacentral:lncRNA from 1 species
GAGUGCUCAGUGGAGAGCGGGGAGUUGUGUCCACCUUGCCGACGUCGCUAGCCGUGGGGCUGUCCUGGGAAGGCGGACGGCGAGCGCCCGGUGUCCGCACUCGGCCGCCUGCCGUGCCCGUCUGCGCCCGUGUCAUCCUCACUCGGGACGCAGGGACCGUUUUUAAAUCACAGGGGCGUGUGUCAGCCUGCCCUAGGACUUCAUGUCUAUAUAUUUCCCCAUUCACUGCCCCGACUAUCUGAGAUCGGCCAAGAUGACUGAGGUGAUGAUGAACACCCAGCCCAUGGAGGAGAUCGGCCUCAGCCCCCGCAAGGAUGGCCUUUCCUACCAGGUGAAUCUUCCCAGACCCGUCAGAUUUUGACCGCUGCUGCAAACUGAAGGACCGUCUGCCCUCCAUAGUGGUGGAACCCACAGAAGGGGAGGUGGAGAGCGGGGAGCUCCGGUGGCCCCCUGAGGAGUUCCUGGUCCAGGAGGAUGAGCAAGAUAACUGCGAAGAGACAGCGAAAGAAAAUAAAGAGCAGUAGAGUCCCUGUGGACUCCCAUGGGUCAUACCAGCCAG